AUCAGGCCUCCCCAUAACAACUGCAUCUGGUUCUGAGGGGUCAGAAGAGCCUCCUGAUAUUGGUACUGGAGACAAAGAACAAUGACGAGCAGGCCUGUUCAGAUUCCGCUCUGGACGUCUUGGUUGAGUGAGGAAGACAUGUAUCUCGACAUCAACUGUCCCUAGUCCGCCGGGGCUUGUUGCAAUGAAGCAAGGCCUCGAUCACAAAUUGGAUAUUAAGAAAUUGGGGACAACAACAGGGGAAAGCUCACCGGUCUUCCUCUGCUUAACCUGUGAAGCUGUUACGGAGUUACACGACCCGCCUCUGUUUCCCAGCGGGGUCGGUUAUUUUCCUCUCCCUGGCCAGUGGGACCACACACACCAACGGGGGAAACGACUGGCAACGCUGCCUGACUGACGGAUACGGAGAAGAAGCGGGCGAUCAAUUAACGUGAUACCGGACAAGGCCGUAGUGGAAAAGGUUGAUUCAGGAGAACGUGUUCGGGGGUUUGGGUCAAGACGAACACGGCAGAGCGGUCGGGUUUCCGUGCUCGCCAUCAGGCCGCCGUCAGACCCGUUCCCUGUGGAGACACCCGGUCGGUGAUGGACAGGCACACAUGCUCACUAAGUCCCUCCCUCUCCCUCUCCCCCCCCCCUCGUCCCAACCUAACCAGUCCCACCCCCACACAGUGCAUAACAUGCACUCUUUCUGUACUCUGUGUUUUUCCUCUCUCCCUCCUUCUCUCCCCCUAUCACC
ensembl:lncRNA